UUUUUUUUCUUUUCUUUUUUUUUUUUUUUAAUGAAUGGAGGGCGGCGGAGACUGCUGCAGCUGGCUCAGCUGCGCGGGCUGUACCCCCUCCCAGCCUGCGAGAGGAGGACAAAGGACGUGUCCAGAGUGACACCGCCCUGUGGUUGGAGGUGCGAGUGGGGUGAGUGUGCUCUCCCUCACAGCUGUCGUCAGCAGCCUCGUUCAUGUCUCUGUUCCGCUGGCAUUCAUCCGCUGUACAUCAGAGUCACUGGUGAGUUCCCUACAGUGCCUGGAGCAAGAUACUGGAAGAAGACACUGGAGCCCCGGGCAGGCAGA